GGGGGAGAAUGGGCAUCCCACCCCAGCACUUUCUAGGAAGAAGGGCAACAUUUUGAAGGGCUGGAAGUAGAGAAAGAAGGUUGCGGGUAGAAGACUCCAUACUUUCUGUGACGCCUAUUCCUUAGGAAUCAAGCCUAUCUGUAAUCACAGGGCUAUUUGAAAAAGAGAAGAAAAGGUGUCUUGAAAUUAAACCAACAUGUUUCAAUUAUUUGCUCCUAAGAACAACAGAAGUUUCAACAUUCUGCCAACACAGUAACUCCUGGGAGAUUGGCACAGAAGAAGGCACAAGAAUAUUUAAGCAGCUUUGUCUGCCUUAGACCUUCCACCUAAAAGUACAGCAAGUGGAAUGGAAUGCUAAUAUGAGGAUCCAAAUUUUCAGGGAAGGAGGAGAGCUUUUAUAUAACCAAAGAUAUUUUUGGACCAUGAAUUCGGAAAUUCUCGGAGCCACCCAUCAAUGCCUGAGCUUCAGUGAGUCCAUAUCCCAUGUCACCUACGGCAAAGGAGAAUCUGAGACUUCUGAAGAGUUUCUUGCUUCUUUCCUGUGGGGCAGUGACUCCACUUCCCAGCAGUAAUGGAAUAUCCUGAAUUAGCUACAUUAAUGUUAGAACCAUUUGGACCUCACCCAGGACUUCAACUACAUUGUGAGUAACUCCUGGACGACUGGCACAGAAGAAGGCACAAGGCAAAUACCCAUCUCUGUACACCCUGUGCUACUGUGUCAUGUGCUGCUCCAGGCAACUCCAAUGGAUUGGCCACCCUGGCCAAUGUGUUCUAGUAUGUUAGGUUUAUGUUCCCCUGCUUUCUACAAUCCUGUUCAAAGAGUUGCUGACUUAACCACAG
rnacentral:antisense_RNA from 1 species